rnacentral:rRNA from 1 species
AAAUUGAAGAGUUUGAUCAUGGCUCAGAUUGAACGCUGGCGGCAGGCCUAACACAUGCAAGUCGAACGGUAACAGGAAACAGCUUGCUGUUUCGCUGACGAGUGGCGGACGGGUGAGUAAUGUCUGGGAAACUGCCUGAUGGAGGGGGAUAACUACUGGAAACGGUAGCUAAUACCGCAUAACGUCGCAAGACCAAAGAGGGGGACCUUCGGGCCUCUUGCCAUCGGAUGUGCCCAGAUGGGAUUAGCUAGUAGGUGGGGUAACGGCUCACCUAGGCGACGAUCCCUAGCUGGUCUGAGAGGAUGACCAGCCACACUGGAACUGAGACACGGUCCAGACUCCUACGGGAGGCAGCAGUGGGGAAUAUUGCACAAUGGGCGCAAGCCUGAUGCAGCCAUGCCGCGUGUAUGAAGAAGGCCUUCGGGUUGUAAAGUACUUUCAGCGGGGAGGAAGGGAGUAAAGUUAAUACCUUUGCUCAUUGACG